rnacentral:piRNA from 1 species
UAGUAUGUUUCCGUGGGUCAGU